rnacentral:sRNA from 1 species
GUUAACCACGCCUAUGCGCGCGGGUGACGACAGGCUCUCUCUCGCCGAUGAAUUCACAUAAAUCGCCUCACCAUUCGCGCCUUCUGGCGCGA